GUGAAUCAUCAAAUCUUUGAACGCAAAUUGCACUUUCUGGUAUUCCGGAAAGUAUGCCUGUUUGAGGGUCAGUUAAAUAAACAUCGGUGUUGUUGCUGCUUUUCGUGUUGACGCGUGGGAUUUGUGUUGUCUUCCCUUCGGUUAAGUUACUUAAAAUUUUGCAUGAUUUUCGAACGUAUUUAAAUUUAUUCAGUACGUUUGAGUUAUCUUAUUCUUUACUAGGUUAGAUCAUCCACAUGAUUCGUAG
rnacentral:misc_RNA from 1 species